AGCGAACGAGGGUGGCAGGCUUAACACAUGCAAGUCGAGCGGGCAUCCUUGUGGUGUCAGCGGCAGACGGGUGAGUAACGCGUGGGAACGUGCCCUUCGGUUCGGAAUAACUCAGGGAAACUUGAGCUAAUACCGGAUACGUGCGAGAGCAGAAAGGUUUAUCUGCCGAAGGAUCGGCCCGCGUCUGAUUAGCUAGUUGGUGAGGUUAUGGCUCACCAAGGCGACGAUCAGUAGCUGGUCUGAGAGGAUGAUCAGCCACACUGGGACUGAGACACGGCCCAGACUCCUACGGGAGGCAGCAGUGGGGAAUAUUGGACAAUGGGGGCAACCCUGAUCCAGCCAUGCCGCGUGAGUGAUGACGGCCUUAGGGUUGUAAAGCUCUUUUCUCCGGGACGAUAAUGACGGUACCGGAGGAAUAAGCCCCGGCUAACUUCGUG
rnacentral:rRNA from 1 species